GCGUUCGGUGAUCUACGACGGCGUCGAGAUCACGGUUGCCGGCGGCGGUGAAUCGAUCAGCCUCGUGCAGAACGAGCACGCCAACAAGUUCCACGCCGUCGAUCCUGAACUGGUGAAGAUCAAGGGCGACGUCUAUAUGGCCCGAAGUGGUGUCGAAGCGCUACGGCAUUUCGCGCGAGAAGCAGGACGAAUACUCGCUGGAGAGCCAGCGCCGCACCGCUGCCGCGCAGCA
rnacentral:misc_RNA from 1 species